rnacentral:rRNA from 1 species
GACGAACGCUGGCGGCGUGCUUAACACAUGCCAGUCGAACGGAAAGGCCUCUUUCGGGGGGUACUCGAGUGGCGAAUGGGUGAGUAACACGUGAGUAACCUGCCCUUGACUUUGGGAUAACUUCAGGAAACUGGGGCUAAUACCGGAUAGGAGCUCCUGCUGCAUGGUGGGGGUUGGAAAGUUUCGGCGGUUGGGGAUGGACUCGCGGCUUAUCAGCUUGUUGGUGGGGUAGUGGCUUACCAAGGCUUUGACGGGUAGCCGGCCUGAGAGGGUGACCGGCAAAAUUGGGAUGGGGAUAGGGCCCAGACUGCUACGGGGGGCAGCAGGGGGGAAAUUGGCAAAAGGGGGGGGAGCCUGAUGCAGCAACGCCGUGGGCGGGAGGACGGCCUUGGGGUUGGAAACCGCUUUCGCUCAUGACGAAGCUUUGUGUGAGGGUAGGGGGUAAAGAAGCACCGGCUAACUACGUG